ensembl:lncRNA
CGCAGGUCAGUGAAGGAAGGCCUUCCAGGCAGGCCCAUCUCCUUCCACGCCUCCCUCAGGUAGACGGGCAGGUUCUUGAUCUCAGUGUUGGUGGAAUUGAAAAAGAAGUACUGGGCUUUAUUUCCCCCUGGCAGACAGUGCUUAAAUUUCAGGAAGUCUGAAAACCAAGAGUACUCCUCCUUGGUCAGCGACAUCUGGAUCCUGGUUUGCAUUUGUUUUGCGUUUCCCACCUAUUAGAAAAUGGAGGGAAAAAACAGGCAUUAACGCUGCAGUCGUUUCUAAAACCAACCAACCACGUUCAGGUGUAUGGUUAUAGACUUACGUUGAUCAGACAGGUCCCAGACAGGCCCCACUGGGCCACAUUCAGGUGUACGGUUAUAGACUUACGUUGAUCAGACAGGUCCCAGACAGGCCCCACUGGACCACAUUCAGGUGUACGGUUAUAGACUUACGUUGAUCAGACAGGUCCCAGACAGGCCCCACUGGGCCACGUUCAGGUGUAUGGUUAUAGACUUACGUUGAUCAGACAGGUCCCAGACAGGCCACGCUGGACCUCCUCCACCUCCUUCACCAUCAUGUUUCUAUAAAGGCCCGGGCUGUGGCCGUACAUGGAGGUGAAAUAGGCACACAGGAAUCCGUAAAACCGGUUCUGGUUCUUCUGUGUCAUAGUUUCUUCCAAGGUUUCUGUGGGAACAUGAGAAUAGAAACAGGAUAACUUCCAUAAUGUCCUGUGAACAUCUCUGACAUCUAUAAUAAUAACAGACAGCUUCCAUAAUGUCCUGUGAACAUCUAUAAUAACAGACAGCUUCCAUAAUGUCCUGUGAACAUCUAUAAUAACAGACAGCUUCCAUAAUGUCCUGUGAACAUCUCUGACAUCUAUAAUAAUAACAGACAGCUUCCAUAAUGUCCUGUAAACAUCUAUAAUAAUAACAGACAGCUCCCAUAAUGUCCUGUAAACAUCUCUGACAUCUAUAAUAAUAACAGACAGCUUCCAUAAUGUCCUGUGAACAUCUAUAAUAAUAACAGACAGCUUCCAUAAUGUCCUGUUAACAUCUCUGACAUCUAUAAUAAUAACAGACAGCUUCCAUAAUGUCCUGUAAACAUCUCUAAUAAUAACAGACAGCUUCCAUAAUGUCCUGUGAACAUCUAUAAUAAUAACAGACAGCUUCCAUAAUGUCCUGUAAACAUCUCUAAUAAUAACAGACAGCUUCCAUAGUGUCCUGUGAACAUCUCUGACAUCUAUAAUAAUAACAGACAGCUUCCAUAAUGUCCUGUAAACAUCUCUAAUAAUAACAGACAGCUUCCAUAAUGUCCUGUAAACAUCUCUAAUAAUAACAGACAGCUUCCAUAAUGUCCUGUGAACAUCUAUAAUAAUAACAGACAGCUUCCAUAAUGUCCUGUAAACAUCUCUAAUAAUAACAGACAGCUUCCAUAGUGUCCUGUGAACA